CGAAUGGGUCCAAAGACUCUUAAAACCUACCGUGCUCCCCUACGUGGACAUCAGGAAAGCCCUCCGGGGCAUCAGAAAUCUGAGAAGUUGAAGAACUGCGCCCCGGCGCAUGACUUAAGAAAAAAUUA
rnacentral:misc_RNA from 1 species